GGUUAAGCGACUAAGCGUACACGGUGGAUGCCCUGGCAGUCAGAGGCGAUGAAGGGCGUGCUAAUCUGCGAUAAGCGCCGGUAAGGUGAUAUGAACCGUUAUAACCGGCGAUACCCGAAUGGGGAAACCCAGUGUGACUCGUCACACUAUCAUUAACUGAAUCCAUAGGUUAAUGAGGCGAACCGGGGGAACUGAAACAUCUAAGUACCCCGAGGAAAAGAAAUCAACCGAGAUUCCCCCAGUAGCGGCGAGCGAACGGGGAGGAGCCCAGAGCCUGAAUCAGCAUGUGUGUUAGUGGAAGCGUCUGGAAAGGCGCGCGAUACAGGGUGACAGCCCCGUACACAAAAGCGCAUGUGCUGUGAGCUCGAUGAGUAGGGCGGGACACGUGGUAUCCUGUCUGAAUAUGGGGGGACCAUCCUCCAAGGCUAAAUACUCCUGACUGACCGAUAGUGAACCAGUACCGUGAGGGAAAGGCGAAAAGAACCCCGGCGAGGGGAGUGAAAAAGAACCUGAAACCGUGUACGUACAAGCAGUGGGAGCACCCUUUGGGGUGUGACUGCGUACCUUUUGUAUAAUGGGUCAGCGACUUAUAUUCUGUAGCAAGGUUAACCGAAUAGGGGAGCCGGAGGGAAACCGAGUCUUAAUUGGGCGUUAAGUUGCAGGGUAUAGACCCGAAACCCGGUGAUCUAGCCAUGGGCAGGUUGAAGGUUGGGUAACACUAACUGGAGGACCGAACCGACUAAUGUUGAAAAAUUAGCGGAUGACCUGUGGCUGGGGGUGAAAGGCCAAUCAAACCGGGAGAUAGCUGGUUCUCCCCGAAAGCUAUUUAGGUAGCGCCUCGUGAAUUCAUCUCCGGGGGUAGAGCACUGUUUCGGCUAGGGGGCCAUCCCGGCUUACCAACCCGAUGCAAACUGCGAAUACCGGAGAAUGUUAUCACGGGAGACACACGGCGGGUGCUAACGUCCGUCGUGAAGAGGGAAACAACCCAGACCGCCAGCUAAGGUCCCAAAGUCAUGGUUAAGUGGGAAACGAUGUGGGAAGGCCCAGACAGCCAGGAUGUUGGCUUAGAAGCAGCCAUCAUUUAAAGAAAGCGUAAUAGCUCACUGGUCGAGUCGGCCUGCGCGGAAGAUGUAACGGGGCUAAACCAUGCACCGAAGCUGCGGCAGCGAACGUAUCACCCAAGACAACUUUACGGAGUUGACGAUUGACGGAGCGAAGCGACGUCAAAGCGUUCAUUAAAGUCGAGUUGGCUUAGGGAUACGUUCGUUGGGUAGGGGAGCGUUCUGUAAGCCUGUGAAGGUGGCCUGUGAGGGUUGCUGGAGGUAUCAGAAGUGCGAAUGCUGACAUAAGUAACGAUAAAGCGGGUGAAAAGCCCGCUCGCCGGAAGACCAAGGGUUCCUGUCCAACGUUAAUCGGGGCAGGGUGAGUCGACCCCUAAGGCGAGGCCGAAAGGCGUAGUCGAUGGGAAACGGGUUAAUAUUCCCGUACUUGGUGUUACUGCGAAGGGGGGACGGAGAAGGCUAUGUUGGCCGGGCGACGGUUGUCCCGGUUUAAGCGUGUAGGUGUGUGUUCCAGGUAAAUCCGGUUCACUUUAACACUGAGGCGUGACGACGAGGCACUACGGUGCUGAAGCAACAAAUGCCCUGCUUCCAGGAAAAGCCUCUAAGCAUCAGGUAACAUCAAAUCGUACCCCAAACCGACACAGGUGGUCAGGUAGAGAAUACCAAGGCGCUUGAGAGAACUCGGGUGAAGGAACUAGGCAAAAUGGUGCCGUAACUUCGGGAGAAGGCACGCUGACACGUAGGUGAAGUGAUUUACUCAUGGAGCUGAAGUCAGUCGAAGAUACCAGCUGGCUGCAACUGUUUAUUAAAAACACAGCACUGUGCAAACACGAAAGUGGACGUAUACGGUGUGACGCCUGCCCGGUGCCGGAAGGUUAAUUGAUGGGGUCAGCGCAAGCGAAGCUCCUGAUCGAAGCCCCGGUAAACGGCGGCCGUAACUAUAACGGUCCUAAGGUAGCGAAAUUCCUUGUCGGGUAAGUUCCGACCUGCACGAAUGGCGUAAUGAUGGCCAGGCUGUCUCCACCCGAGACUCAGUGAAAUUGAACUCGCUGUGAAGAUGCAGUGUACCCGCGGCAAGACGGAAAGACCCCGUGAACCUUUACUAUAGCUUGACACUGAACAUUGAGCCUUGAUGUGUAGGAUAGGUGGGAGGCUUUGAAGUGUGGACGCCAGUCUGCAUGGAGCCGACCUUGAAAUACCACCCUUUAAUGUUUGAUGUUCUAACGUGGACCCGUAAUCCGGGUUGCGGACAGUGUCUGGUGGGUAGUUUGACUGGGGCGGUCUCCUCCUAAAGAGUAACGGAGGAGCACGAAGGUUGGCUAAUCCUGGUCGGACAUCAGGAGGUUAGUGCAAUGGCAUAAGCCAGCUUGACUGCGAGCGUGACGGCGCGAGCAGGUGCGAAAGCAGGUCAUAGUGAUCCGGUGGUUCUGAAUGGAAGGGCCAUCGCUCAACGGAUAAAAGGUACUCCGGGGAUAACAGGCUGAUACCGCCCAAGAGUUCAUAUCGACGGCGGUGUUUGGCACCUCGAUGUCGGCUCAUCACAUCCUGGGGCUGAAGUAGGUCCCAAGGGUAUGGCUGUUCGCCAUUUAAAGUGGUACGCGAGCUGGGUUUAGAACGUCGUGAGACAGUUCGGUCCCUAUCUGCCGUGGGCGCUGGAGAACUGAGGGGGGCUGCUCCUAGUACGAGAGGACCGGAGUGGACGCAUCACUGGUGUUCGGGUUGUCAUGCCAAUGGCACUGCCCGGUAGCUAAAUGCGGAAGAGAUAAGUGCUGAAAGCAUCUAAGCACGAAACUUGCCCCGAGAUGAGUUCUCCCUGAGACUUUAGGUCUCCUGAAGGAACGUUGAAGACGACGACGUUGAUAGGCCGGGUGUGUAAGCGCAGCGAUGCGUUGAGCUAACCGGUACUAAUGAACCGUGAGGCUUAACCUU
rnacentral:rRNA from 1 species